GAAGAACCUUACCAGGGCUUGACAUCCCUUGACGACGUAAGAGAUUACGUUUCCCUUCGGGGCAAGGAGACAGGUGGUGCAUGGUUGUCGUCAGCUCGUGUCGUGAGAUGUUGGGUUAAGUCCCGCAACGAGCGCAACCCUUGUCAUUAGUUGCUACAUUUAGUUGGGCACUCUAAUGAGACUGCCGGUGACAAACCGGAGGAAGGUGGGGAUGACGUCAAGUCCUCAUGGCCCUUAUAGGUAGGGCUACACACGUCAUACAAUGGCUGGUACAGAGGGUUGCCAACCCGCGAGGGGGAGCUAAUCCCAUAAAACCAGUCGUAGUCCGGAUCGGAGUCUGCAACUCGACUCCGUGAAGUCGGAAUCGCUAGUAAUCGCAGAUCAGCAUUGCUGCGGUGAAUACGUUCCCGGGUCUUGUACACACGC
rnacentral:rRNA from 1 species